UACAGAGGUCCCAAGCGUUGUUCGGAUUCACUGGGCGUAAAGGGUGCGUAGGCGGUUUGACAAGUCUGAUGUGAAAUCCCGCAGCUUAACUGCGGAACUGCAUUGGAAACUGUUUGACUAGAGGAAUGGAGGGGAGACUGGAAUACUUGGUGUAGCAGUGAGAUGCGUAGAUAUCAAGUGGAACACCAGUGGCGAAGGCGAGUCUCUGGACAUUUCCUGACGCUGAGGCACGAAAGCCAGGGGAGCAAACGGG
rnacentral:rRNA from 1 species